rnacentral:misc_RNA from 1 species
GGAUGACGCGAGUGCCUGUGUGCGCACAUGCGUAGAUGCGCGCACACGCAACGCAAGGAAUUACAACUCCGACCUAUUUGAUGCGUUCUCGCCACACAAGAUCUUUCAACUAACAUAAAAAGUUUCUUUUUUUUUUCAACGUGCCCAUUCACCGCCAUGCAGCAUGCGAUCCACCCCACUCCACUCCACUCCACCACCACCACCCCUGCCCUGGUCACAGGGGCACAUCGAGUGGUGCGAAGCAGCGUUACACAUGUGCGGUGCAGCGAUGUUCACUGAGCGGUCUGAGCGUGGCCCCAGGCUCAUACUCUGCCUACCACGGCUGCCUCACAGCUGCUCCUGCUUUGCCGGUCGUCAUGUGGGGCACCCCCUCGGGGUCGCUCGGGCUUGCCCUGCCAGUAGGCGGUGUGACGGCCGUGGGGUGGGAUACGCUCGAGUCACGUCGACCCGCUGCUCAUCAUAUGGAUGGCGCAGGCGUGCUCACUGCCGCAGGGCGCUCCCGCGCAGCACCAUCCCCCGGACCUCACUGCCGACAUGAGCGGCGAUGCAUUGCCCUGACCUCCCCACGUCCCAGGCACGUGACCCUGCCAGCACCAGAGGUGGCUCAGCGUUUGCCAGGGAUCGCUGGGCUGCCUGGGGCUCUUGCCCCCGCCCCCCCCCCCCCCACGCACACACAGAGAGAGAGAGUGAGCCCACGUGGACCCUGAUACAAAUACAGAGGCUUUUCCUCUUGUGAGGGCGCCAUCGACAUGAUAUGGUAUAUUAAUUGAACAAUGGCCGACAGCUGGCCAUAACGCUUCUGGCGGCUUUCGCGCUUCCUUUUUUUUUGUUCCACAUUAUUAUUAUUGCUGCUGUUGCCGUGAAGCAACCGUAACCCACGGGGUCGAGGCGCCGUGCUGGAGGACGAGGUGUUAGACGGCGUUGUCUUGUCGGCCCUCUGCACGUUUCUCUUUUCCACGCAACCGUUUUGCUUCCGUGUGCGAGGCCACUUGGCGAAUCAUCCUGUUUCCUCUCGCACCUCUUCCAUGUAUCAUCUACAAUUUGUAGGGGCACGGGUAAUGUGCCGAACCGAUUCACAACCCCCCCGCCCACCCACACCCUCACGCACACAGGCAAGUACGGGCGCACAUGCUGUAUCCUCGUACGCACGCUGCCUUGAGCUGAGCAAGUUUUAAUGUUCUGUUCAAGUCGAGUUCUCUGAAACUGCUUCAACCAGCUGGUGAAGUUGGUUCACGGAGAACCACUAGUACUUAAAGGGACCCGAUCCGGCCUUUUCCUGAUUG